ACAGGCUUAACACAUGCAAGUCGAGGGGUAGCAGGGUAGCAAUACCGCUGACGACCGGCGCACGGGUGAGUAACACGUAUCCAACCUUCCCAUAACUCAGGGAUAGCCUUUCGAAAGAAAGAUUAAUACCUGAUGGUACCUUUUCUGGGCAUCCAGUUUAGGUUAAAGAUUUAUCGGUUAUGGAUGGGGAUGCGUUCCAUUAGAUUGUUGGUGAGGUAACGGCUCACCAAGUCUUCGAUGGAUAGGGGUUCUGAGAGGAAGGUCCCCCACAUUGGUACUGAGACACGGACCAAACUCCUACGGGAGGCAGCAGUGAGGAAUAUUGGUCAAUGGGCGAGAGCCUGAACCAGCCAAGUAGCGUGAAGGAUGACGG
rnacentral:rRNA from 1 species